rnacentral:rRNA from 1 species
GUGACAUACCUAUACGUUGCCUCGGCGGAUCAGCCCGCGCCCCGUAAAACGGGACGGCCCGCCCGAGGACCCUAAACUCUGUUUUUAGUGGAACUUCUGAGUAAAACAAACAAAUAAAUCAAAACUUUCAACAACGGAUCUCUUGGUUCUGGCAUCGAUGAAGAACGCAGCAAAAUGCGAUAAGUAAUGUGAAUUGCAGAAUUCAGUGAAUCAUCGAAUCUUUGAACGCACAUUGCGCCCGCCAGUAUUCUGGCGGGCAUGCCUGUUCGAGCGUCAUUUCAACCCUCAAGCUCAGCUUGGUGUUGGGACUCGCGGUAACCCGCGUUCCCCAAAUCGAUUGGCGGUCACGUCGAGCUUCCAUAGCGUAGUAAUCAUACACCUCGUUACUGGUAAUCGUCGCGGCCACGCCGUAAAACCCCAACUUCUGAAUGUUGACCUCGGAUCAGGUAGGAAUACCCGCUGAACUUAAGCAUAUCAAUAAGCGGAGGAA